GAUGAAGAACGGAGCGAAAUGCGAUAAGUAAUGUGAAUUGCAGAAUUCAGUGAAUCAUCGAAUCUUUGAACGCACAUUGCGCCCCCCAGUAUUCUGGCGGGCAUGCCUGUUCGAGCGUCAUUUCAACCAUCAAGCCCUGCUUGUGUUGGGGUCCUGCGGCUGCCCGCAGGCCCUGAAAACCAGUGGCGGGCUCGCUAGUCACACCGAGCGCAGUAGCACAUCUCGCUCAGGGCGUGCGGCGGGCUCCAGCCGUUAAAGCACCCACCUUUCGCAAGGUUGACCUCGGAUCAGGCAGGAAUACCCGCUGAACUUAAGCAUAUCAAUAAGCGGAGGA
rnacentral:misc_RNA from 1 species